GAUGAACGCUGGCGGCGUGCCUAAUACAUGCAAGUCGAGCGAACAGACGAGGAGCUUGCUCCUCUGACGUUAGCGGCGGACGGGUGAGUAACACGUGGAUAACCUACCUAUAAGACUGGGAUAACUUCGGGAAACCGGAGCUAAUACCGGAUAAUAUAUUGAACCGCAUGGUUCAAUAGUGAAAGACGGUUUUGCUGUCACUUAUAGAUGGAUCCGCGCCGCAUUAGCUAGUUGGUAAGGUAACGGCUUACCAAGGCAACGAUGCGUAGCCGACCUGAGAGGGUGAUCGGCCACACUGGAACUGAGACACGGUCCAGACCCCUACGGGAGGCAGCAGUAGGGAAUCUUCCGCAAUGGGCGAAAGCCUGACGGAGCAACGCCGCGUGAAUGAUGAAGGUCUUCGGAUCGUAAAACUCUGUUAUUAGGGAAGAACAAAUGUGUAAGUAACUAUGCACGUCUUGACGGUACCUAAUCAGAAAGCCACGGCUAACUACGUG
rnacentral:rRNA from 1 species